UUUUCAUUCUGAGGUCAGGAUUAAUUUUCAUGUGGCCCUUAACAAUUUUUGAAAAUUGCAAAUGGUGGCUGAAGGAACUAAUUGCGCCACCAUUGCCACCAGUAGGGUGAAAAGAAGCGUUUUAUUAUUAUCGAAACGUCUCCGGCCCUGGAAUUUUCAUUCUGAGGUCAGGAUUAAUUUUCAUGUGGCCCUUAACAAUUUUUGAAAAUUGCAAAUGGUGGCUAAAGGAACUAAUUGCGCCACCAGCGCCCCCAGUAGGGUGAAAAGAAGCGUUUUAUUAUUAUCGAAACGACUCCGGCCCUGGAAUUUUCAUUCUGAGGUCAAGAUUAAUUUUCAUGUACCCCUUAACAAUUUUUGAAAAUUGCAAAUGGCGGCUAAAGGAACUAAUUGUCCCACCAGCGCCCCCAGUAGGUUGAAAAGAAGCGUUUUAUUAUUAUCGAAACGACUUCGGCCCUGGAAUUUUCAUUCUGAGGUCAGGAUUAAUUUUCAUGUACCCCUUAACAAUUUUUGAAAAUUGUAAAUGAUGUAUGAAGAAAGUUAUGACGUCACGAGUGCGUCUGGUGGGGGGCCCACUGACGCUAGGCCUGUGGCUACCGCGCAGGCGCCAUAAUGGCGGCCGCUCUAGUGUGAACGUUUUGAGAUUGUUUAUAUACUCAAAGGUGAACGUGCACUACGUGCAGUCUCGGUCGUAAGCGUGCACGUGACACUGUUCGUAAACAUGUGGGACACAGGGGCUCUCAGGACUUGGAAACUCGUUUAUCUUGGAUUAACUCGCAAGACUUCCUUAUCUCCAGGGGAAUGGUUAGGUGUGGAACGGAUGAGGCUUUUGCCAGGUGAUUUGGGCACUUCCUUCCUCUUUAUCGGCGGCAGCCGGUGCUCGGGAAAGCUGAUGUAAGUAUAGCAAGAGGACGGCCUAGUUGCCAUCGCGGCCAUCCGAAAUAUUAGAAUAAGCCCACGCGCGUAAUACAAUCCCGAUGGUAAGGUAACCAAAUUUAGCAUGUGACUUAGCAGACGCCCUCGAGACACUUGCACGGACGAUGACUCAGACCGAACAGAAGCGAACGGAAUUGAAGGAAGAAGAUGAAGAGCUGGAGGUUGAGGGAGUUCUUGAUGAAACCGUUUCUGUUUGGCUGGUGAUUAGUGCGUUUUCGUUUUAGGUUCGAUUGGAAAUUGAAACGUUUAGGGGCUCGCAGCACCAUUCAAAUGAUAUGUAUCAUUUUUAUAGCGGAGCAUUUUGUCAAUUGGAUUCAUUCGAUAUCAAAGAAUUUUUACAUCGGAUUGAUUUGGUGUUGAAGUAUUUUGACGGUGCAACAGAUUGGCUUUGAAGCAUUCAUAAAUGAAACAUUUGUGAGUUCCGACAUUUUGAAAUGGAAGAAUUUUAACAUUGAAGCUUUUUAACAUUAGGAGAUCUUAACGUUGAAGCAUCUGGGCUUUGAAGCAUUCGAGGGUUGAAGCACCAAAUAAUUACAUCACUUUGACAGGGAAGCAUUUUAUAAUUAAAUCACUUUGUCGUUGCGGUAUCUUGGCUUUGAAGCAUUCGAAGGUUGAAGCAUUUGAGAGCAAACUGAAACAUUUUGAGGUUGAAGCACUGUAUAAUUAAAUCAUUUUAACUACAGCCUCCUGGCUUUUGAAGCAUUUGUGAAUUGAAACAUUUGGAAGUUGAAGCAGAGUAUAAUUGAACAUUUUGACACCGAAGCAUUGUGUCAUUAGAUCGCUUUGAUAUUGAAGCAUUUUGAGUUUGUAGCAUCUUGACUUUGAAGCACUUGUAGAUUGAAAGAUUUGAUGGUGGAUGCACUGUGCGAUUGAAUCAUUUUGACAAAGAAGCAUUUUGUCAUUGAAUCC